GAGUGUUCGCUGGUGGCUUGCCCGGAAGGAUUGGAAUUCGAUGGUCAUGUUGCCGAGAAGGAGGAAGACCGCGCGGUUCAGCAAAUAUGUCAGCAAAUUCAGUAAGUAAUUGGGCAAGAUUUUGAUCUUCAAUUUCUAUUUUCUUCUCUUCUGGUUGUGGCUGGAGAUGCAUAAAAAAGCCACCAUUUACCUUGUGCAAAACUUUCUCCAUUCGUUGGGU
rnacentral:lncRNA from 1 species